rnacentral:rRNA from 1 species
UACGGGGGGAGCAAGCGUUGUUCGGAUUUACUGGGCGUAAAGGGCGCGUAGGCGGCGUAACAAGUCACUUGUGAAAUCUCCGGGCUUAACCCGGAGCGGCCAAGUGAUACUGUUGAGCUAGAGUGCGGAAGGGGCUACUGGAAUUCUCGGUGUAGCGGUGAAAUGCGUAGAUAUCGAGAGGAACACCUGCGGCGAAGGCGGGUAGCUGGGCCGACACUGACGCUGAGGCGCGAAAGCCAGGGGAGCGAACGGG